CCCUUAGAUGUUCUGGGCAGCACGCGCGCUACAAUGGUCUUCGCAAACGGAUGCAUUCUCGAAGGAGAAUGCCAAUCUUGGAAUCUAUGCCUUGGUCGGGACAGUUGCUUGCAAUUUUUCGACUCGAACCAGGAAUUCCUUGUAAUCGUGAUUCAUCACAUGACGAUGAAUACGUCCCUGCCCUUUGUACACACCGCCCGUCGCUCCUACCGAUCGAAGAGUUAGGUGAAUUGUUUUGAUCGAUAAGAUUUGACUAUGGUCAACUCUCGUUGUGAAAUUCUGUGAAUCUGACUGUUUAGAGGAAGGAAAAGUCGUAACA
rnacentral:rRNA from 1 species